UACAGAGGUCUCGAGCGUUAGGCGGAAUCACUGGGCUUAAAGCGUGUGUAGGUGGUUCGUUAAGUACCCUGUGAAAUCCCAUGGCUUAACCAUGGAACUGCUUGGUAUACUGGCGGUCUUGAGCCAGCUAGGGGCUACCGGAACAAAUGGUGGAGCGGUGAAAUGCGUAGAUAUCGGAAGGAACACCGGUGGCGAAAGCGGCGCGCUGGACCUCUACUGACGCUGAGGCGCGAAAGCCAGGGGAGCAAACGGG
rnacentral:rRNA from 1 species